CCUACGGGUGGCAGCAGUGAGGAAUAUUGGUCAAUGGACGCAAGUCUGAACCAGCCAUGCCGCGUGCAGGAAGACGGCUCUAUGAGUUGUAAACUGCUUUUGUACGAGGGUAAACGCAGAUACGCGUACCUGUCUGAAAGUAUCGUACGAAUAAGGAUCGGCUAACUCCGUGCCAGCAGCCGCGGUAAUACGGAGGAUUCAAGCGUUAUCCGGAUUUAUUGGGUUUAAAGGGUGCGUAGGCGGUCGGCUAAGUUAGAGGUGAAAUCCCGAGGCUCAACUUUGGAAUUGCCUCUGAUACUGUUCGUCUAGAGAGUAGUUGCGGUAGGCGGAAUGUAUGGUGUAGCGGUGAAAUGCUUAGAGAUCAUACAGAACACCGAUUGCGAAGGCAGCUUACCAGGCUACUUCUGACGUUGAGGCACGAAAGCGUGGGGAGCAAACAGGAUUAGAUACCCGAGUAGUC
rnacentral:rRNA from 1 species